AACUUUUAGCAACGGAUCACUUGGCUCCUGCAGCGAGGAAGAACGCGGCAAGCGGCGAUACGUGACACGACGUGCGACGAGUGUCGAAUUUUCGAAUGCAAUGCGCUGCGGCGGCGCUGUCUGACGGUCAACAUUCUUUUUUGCUUCGCAUUUCUCUGCUUUGCAGAGAAGGGCAGCAGUGUGUUUCUCCUUUGCAGAGAAGGGCAGCAGUGUGUUUCUCCUUUGCAGAGAAGGGCAGCAGUGUGUGUUAGCUGAGACAUCAGUGUUAGCUGAGACAUCAAAGACAGGACGGGUGACGGCAGAAGGCAGCCACCCAGCAGACAAACGACGUCAGACAGCGCAGACGACCCGCCGAACUUAAGCAUAUCAAUAAGCGGAGGCU
rnacentral:misc_RNA from 1 species